rnacentral:lncRNA from 1 species
ACAAAGAAGUCAUCCAGUGAUCAAAUCAGAUCUACACAAUACAAAUGAAUAAUGAUCCUCUCUUAAAUAUCACACACAGACCAAAACAAAACAAUCACCUAUACAAUUUAAAUGAGCAGGAGUAACAUUCAUGUUGGAUAUGCCUUGAAAUCUCGGUAACAAAAAGUUGGAAAAAAUAUAUUUUGUGAAAGAAUAUAUUUUUU